GGAAUCUUCCACAAUGGGCGAAAGCCUGAUGGAGCAACGCCGCGUGUGUGAUGGAGGGUUUCGGCUCGUAAAACACUGUUGUAAGAGAAGAAUGACAUUGAGAGUAACUGUUCAAUGUGUGACGGUAUCUUACCAGAAAGGAACGGCUAAAUACGUGCCAG
rnacentral:rRNA from 1 species